UAAUACUCCAUAGAUUAGAGACACUUGGAAUGUUCUUUAGUCGAAAGUUCUGGCGCCUUAGGAUGGAUCUGCGGUCGAUUAGGUUGUUGUUGGGGUAACGGCCCAACAAGCCUGUAAUCGAUACGGGUUGUGGGAGCAAGAGCCCGGAGAUGGAAUCUGAGACACGAUUCCAGGCCCUACGGGGCGCAGCAGGCGCGAAAACUUUACAAUGCAGGAAACUGUGAUAAGGGAACUCCGAGUGCCCGUAUACGCGGGCUGUCCAGGUGUUUAAAAAUCAUCUGAAGAAAGGGCCGGGCAAGACCGGUGCCAGCCGCCGCGGUAAUACCGGCGGCUCGAGUGGUGGCCACUAUUAUUGGGCUUAAAGCGUCCGUAGCUGGACCGAUAAGUCUCUUGGGAAAUCCGCCGGCUCAACCGGCGGGCGUCUAAGGGAUACUGUUAGUCUAGGGACCGGGAGAGGUGAGAGGUACUCCGGGGGUAGGAGUGAAAUCCUGUAAUCCCCGGGGGACCACCGAUGGCGAAGGCAUCUCACCAGAACGGCUCCGACAGUGAGGGACGAAAGCUGGGGGAGCGAACCGGAUUAGAUACCCGGGUAGUCCCAGCCGUAAACUAUGCGCGUUAGGUGU
rnacentral:rRNA from 1 species